AUUGAACGCUGGCGGCGUGCUUAACACAUGCAAGUCGAGCGGUAACAGGCGUAGCAAUACGUGCUGACGAGCGGCGAACGGGUGCGUAAUACAUGGGAAUCUGCCCUUUGGUGGGGAAUAACCCGGCGAAAGCCGGGCUAAUGCCGCAUAAGAUCUUCGGAUGAAAGCGGGGGACCGUAAGGCCUCGCGCCGAUGGAUGAGCCCAUGUCGGAUUAGCUAGUUGGUGAGGUAACGGCUCACCAAGGCGACGAUCCGUAGCUGGUCUGAGAGGACGGCCAGCCACACUGGGACUGAGAUACGGCCCAGACUCCUACGGGAGGCAGCAGUGGGGAAUAUUGCACAAUGGGCGCAAGCCUGAUGCAGCGACGCCGCGUGGGGGAUGACGGCCUUCGGGUUGUAAACCUCUUUCAGCACAGACGAAGCGCAAGUGACGGUAUGUGCAGAAGAAGCACCGGCCAACUACGUGCCAGCCGCCGCCGUAACAC
rnacentral:rRNA from 1 species